rnacentral:lncRNA from 1 species
GCUCAGGCAACCUGAGCAACUCGCCAAAAUGGCAGAAGCCACCACCUUAAAUAUCAUCUUCAGCUAAAGAUAAAGGAGGAUGUUGGGGGAGUUUACCAGACAAGUACAGUAAACAAGAUGCAGAUUUAAGUCCUUGCCUUUGGCAUUGAUUGAGUUUCUAGAGAUAAGGUCAUCCCUCCUUCUUCCUGGUACAGAGAGGGAGACACCUUUACAGACGGAGAUUUCCUUUACAAUGUAAAUGUGUCUUAACAAAGGUGGGCUGGAACCAAACCUGCAAUAUCUCCAAGGUGUGUCUAUACCUAAGAACACGGCUUCUCACAGACCUGACUCCCCUACACAAACAAGACGUGGAUAGCCACCAAGUUCCCUCCCACAUAUGCAGAGAAGAUUCCCUCGCACCAUUAAUGCGUGUGACUUGCUUCAGUCAACGGAACGUGAGCAAAUGUACACAAGGAGAAGGCUUAAACGUGCUCCUGUGGGUUGCUGUGGCCUCUGGAGCCCCCUGAUGACCACUGGAGCAGUAGGCUCCAAGAGUCACUGCACCUUCAGCUGGGGCCCCAGGACAAGAUUCAGGGAGCACACCAGCACCCAUCCUGAGGCUGGAAGCAGAGCCACCCCAGCUGACCUGUGGGAACGAAAAAUGAAUCCUUGCUAUUGUGAACUACUGAGAGUUGGAGCAGUUUGUUUACAAGCCUUAUCGAAGCGGGAGCUGACUAAUACACCAUUGGAGGCCUUAAAUCAAAGGAAUAAAGUAAUCUGAAUUGUGUCUUAGUAGGCCCACUCUGACAGCUGUUUAGAGAGUAGAAGGAAGAAAGACGAGAGUGGAAACAGACCAGUUUGGAGGCUACUGUGAGAAUCUGGAUGAGGGAUGGCGGUGCCUUAGAUCAGUCUCUGCUGGACCUUUAUCAUCUCUCAUUUGGAUUAUAAAGAUCUCAUUUGGAUCCUAAAUAGAUUCUCUGCC